rnacentral:rRNA from 1 species
UGAGGAAUAUUGGUCAAUGGACGAGAGUCUGAACCAGCCAAAUCGCGUGAAGGAAGACUGCCCUACGGGUUGUAAACUUCUUUUGUACAGGAAUAAAAGACAUUACGUGUAAUGUAUUGCAUGUACUGUACGAAUAAGCAUCGGCUAACUCCGUGCCAGCAGCCGCGGUAAUACGGAGGAUGCGAGCGUUAUCCGGAUUUAUUGGGUUUAAAGGGUGCGCAGGCGGGAUUUUAAGUCAGCGGUGAAAUUUUCAGGCUCAACCUGAACACUGCCGUUGAAACUGGGAUUCUUGAGUAUGGAUGAAGUAGGCGGAAUUCGUUGUGUAGCGAUGACAUGCUUAGAUAUAACGAGGAACUCCGAUUGCGUAGGCAGCUUACUAAGCCAUAACUGACGCUCAAGCACGAAAGCGUGGGGAUCAAACA